GGGGAUUUAGCUCAGUGGUAGAGCGCUUGCCUAGCACUCAAGGCCCUGGGUUCAGUCCCCA
rnacentral:tRNA from 1 species